rfam:Nitrospira japonica isolate Genome sequencing of Nitrospira japonica strain NJ11 genome assembly, chromosome: I
AGGGGCAUAGUGUUAAUGGCAGCACGUCGGUCUCCAAAACCGAAAGUCUGGGUUCAAAUCCUAGUGCCCCUG